CGAUGUCUACUAGUUGUCGGGUUUUAAUUAACUUGGUAACGCAGCUAACGCGUGAAGUAGACCGCCUGGGGAGUACGGUCGCAAGAUUAAAACUCAAAGGAAUUGACGGGGACCCGCACAAGCGGUGGAUGAUGUGGAUUAAUUCGAUGCAACGCGAAAAACCUUACCUACCCUUGACAUGGUCGGAAUCCUGGAGAGAUCCGGGAGUGCUCGAAAGAGAACCGAUACACAGGUGCUGCAUGGCUGUCGUCAGCUCGUGUCGUGAGAUGUUGGGUUAAGUCCCGCAACGAGCGCAACCCUUGUCAUUAGUUGCUACGCAAGAGCACUCUAAUGAGACUGCCGGUGACAAACCGGAGGAAGGUGGGGAUGACGUCAAGUCCUCAUGGCCCUUAUGGGUAGGGCUUCACACGUCAUACAAUGGUGCAUACAGAGGGCCGCCAACCCGCGAGGGGGAGCUAAUCCCAGAAAGUGCAUCGUAGUCCGGAUUGUAGUCUGCAACUCGACUACAUGAAGUUGGAAUCGCUAGUAAUCGCGGAUCAGCAUGUCGCGGUGAAUACGUUCCCGGGUCUUGUACACACCGCCCGUCACACCAUGGGAGCGGGUUUUACCAGAAGUAGGUAGCUUAACCGCAAGGAGGGCGCUUACCACGGUAGGAUUCGUGACUGGGGUGAAGUCGUAACAAGGUAACC
rnacentral:rRNA from 1 species